UAUGCCAGAGACAGCACUUGGAUUAAGCCCGGCCGGCAGAAAGAGCGAGUGAGUGUGUGUGUUCGGGCCUUUUGUUGGUUCGGGGUUUUUGUGUUGUUAAUUAAUAAACACGAAGCCCGGGGACCAUGGAGCGUGUGUGUGUCUGCGCUCAGCAAACGCGCAGACGUCGAGGCCAGAAACAGAGGAGGCCAUUCUGCUCUUCCAUGCCAGCCGAAAUGAGAAAGUUUCAAACUGUUGCCGGCGCUGCCGCCGCUGCUGCUGCUUCUUCUAACGAGGCAGCGGCGCAGGAGGUGGGUUGUGGAAGAUAGCGGAGGAACAUGGUGGACGCGGAGGAGGAGGUGGACGAGGACGUGCAGACCCGGCGAGGGAGUCCAUUCCGCAUGUAAGCCAGCCACGCAUCCAGCGAGAGCGAGCAGGCGGCAGAGGAGCGUCGGAGGUGCAGCAGCAAAUUAUAAAAAAAUGUAAUUGCCCACAGGUAUUAUAAAUAAAGAACUAAUUUACUCUUCGAGUCAAAUUGACAUCAUUUUGCGAAGUUGCGAUCUUCUUUAUGUACAUAUAUACUUCCCAACCUGUCGAUCUUCUG